UACGUAGGGGGCUAGCGUUGCUCGGAAUGACUGGGCGUAAAGGGCGCGUAGGCGGCGGCCACAGUCAGAUGUGAAAUUCCUGGGCUUAACCUGGGGGCUGCAUUUGAUACGUGGUUGCUUGAGUGGGGAAGAGGGUCGUGGAAUUCCCAGUGUAGAGGUGAAAUUCGUAGAUAUUGGGAAGAACACCGGUGGCGAAGGCGGCGACCUGGUCCUUGACUGACGCUGAGGCGCGAAAGCGUGGGGAGCAAACAGG
rnacentral:rRNA from 1 species